CGGCGAGAGUAAAGAUGGCACUGCUGCUAGUGCCGCAAGCGGUGGUGCUGACGGUGUUGACGCCACUGUUAGCGGAGGUGGAUGUGUUGCUGCUGCCUCAGGAACAGGUACAGAUCGAAAGAGCUCGAUGAACUGAACCUACAAAGCUCUGGUUAACUUUGCUCCUCUUUUCCUAUAUAUCAACCUUAACUCAUACUUGUGUAACCGUGAAACGCGAAAGUAUAUAGAUAGCUCCAAAAGCCUUUCAUUUUCUGGCUGAA